CGUUAAAGAAAAUUAAUCCAAGACUGACACUUUUGAUACAAGCUAUUACUCCUAAUCAUUGUGUAAUCUUACAAUAUAUGUAACUGUCUCCUAACCCUCCUAUGGGCUGCAUAGAAUAUAUCUGUUUCAAACACGUCAUCAGUUUUUUACUUGUAUGUUUUCUGUAAACUAAUGUCGGUGAUGUUAUAAUGAUGUGUACGACUCACACCCAUGUUCUGUUUCUACCAAGAUAGUCGUAAAAGACAAAAUAUUAGUAAAUCCAUGCAGAGUCAAGUAUCGAUAUCUUAUUAUAAUGGGUAUGACGCGCAAUCCAGUUUUCAAAUAUUAGGAC
rnacentral:lncRNA from 1 species